rnacentral:rRNA from 1 species
AUUGAACGCUGGCGGCAGGCCUAACACAUGCAAGUCGAGCGGGGUUUUCGGACCUAGCGGCGGACGGGUGAGUAAUGCGUAGGAAGCUACCCGAUAGAGGGGGAUACCAGUUGGAAACGACUGUUAAUACCGCAUAAUGUCUACGGACCAAAGUGUGGGACCUUCGGGCCACAUGCUAUCGGAUGCGCCUACGUGGGAUUAGCUAGUUGGUGGGGUAAUGGCUCACCAAGGCGACGAUCCCUAGCUGGUUUGAGAGGAUGAUCAGCCACACUGGAACUGAGACACGGUCCAGACUCCUACGGGAGUCAGCAGUGGGGAAUAUUGGACAAUGGGCGCAAGCCUGAUCCAGCCAUGCCGCGUGUGGGAAGAAGGCCUUCGGGUUGUAAAGCACUUUCAGUAGGGAGGAAGGGUGUUGUGUUAAUAGCACAGCAUUUUGACGUUACCUACAGAAGAAGCACCGGCUAACUCUGUGCCAGCAGCCGCGGUAACAC